rnacentral:rRNA from 1 species
UACAGAGGGUGCGAGCGUUAAUCGGAAUUACUGGGCGUAAAGCGCGCGUAGGCGGCUUUGCAAGUCGGGUGUGAAAUCCCCAGGCUUAACCUGGGAACUGCAUUCGAGACUGCAUUGCUAGAGUAUGGGAGAGGGAAGUGGAAUUUCCGGUGUAGCGGUGAAAUGCGUAGAUAUCGGAAGGAACAUCAGUGGCGAAAGCGGUCUGCUGGGCCGUUGCUGACGCUGAGGCGCGACAGCGUGGGGAGCAAACAGG